rnacentral:rRNA from 1 species
GAAUCCCGUCUUUGACAUGGACUACCUGUGCGCUCAUGGUAUGCUCUCGAAGAGUCGAGUUGUUUGGGAAUGCAGCUCAAAAUGGGUGGUAAAUGCCAUCUAAAGCUAAAUAUUGGCGAGAGACCGAUAGCGAACAAGUACCGUGAGGGAAAGAUGAAAAGUACUUUGGAAAGAGAGUUAAACAGUACGUGAAAUUGCUGAAAGGGAAACGCUUGAAGUCAGUCGCGUUGGCUAGGAAUCAACCCAGCUCCUGCUUGGUGUACUUUCUGGUCGACGGGUCAGCAUCAAUUUUGACCAUUGGAUAAAGUCUUUGGGAAUGUGGCAUCCUUGGAUGUGUUAUAGCCCAUAGUCGCAUACGGUGGUUGGGAUUGAGGAGCUCAGCACGCCGCAAAGGCCGGGUUUCGACCACGAUCGUGCUUAGGAUGCUGGCAUAAUGGCUUUAAUCGACCCGUCUUGAAACACGGACCAAGGAGUCUAACAUGCCUACGAGUGUUUGGGUGGAAAACCCAUGCGCGCAAUGAAAGUGAAAGUUGAGAUCCCCUUCAAACCGGGAGCAUUGACGCCCGGACCAGAGCUUCUGUGACGGAUCCGCGGUAGAGCAUGCAUGUUGGGACCCGAAAGAUGGUGAACUAUGCCUGAAUAGGGUGAAGCCAGAGGAAACUCUGGUGGAGGCUCGUAGCGAUUCUGACGUGCAAAUCGAUCGUCAAAUUUGGGUAUAGGGGCGAAAGACUAAUCGAACCGUCUAGUAGCUGGUUCCUGCC